AAGUCGUAACAAGGUUUCCGUAGGUGAACCUGCGGAAGGAUCAUUAACGAGUUAGGGUCUCUCCAGGCCCGACCUCCCAACCCUUUGUUUACCUUGCUGCAUGUUGCUUUGGCGGACCCGUCUCACGACCGCCCUGGGACCGCUGAAAGGCGUCCCUAGGCCCGCGUCCGCCGAUAGCCAGCCUAAACUCUUGGAUGAAUCGUGUAUUAUGUCUGAGUCUUUGUGAUUAAAUCAAAAAGCAAAAACUUUCAACAACGGAUCUCUUGGUUCUG
rnacentral:misc_RNA from 1 species